rnacentral:tRNA from 1 species
GCCUAGUUAGCUUAGUUGGUAGUGCGUCUGCAUUGUAAGCGCUAGGCCGCGGGUUCGAUCCCCGCCCGGGGCG